GCAUCCGUAGCUCAGCUGGAUAGAGUACUCGGCUACGAACCGGCGGCCGCAGGCGAGAAUCCUCCCGGAUGCACCA
rnacentral:tRNA from 1 species